GACGAACGCUGGCGGCGUGCUUAACACAUGCAAGUCGAGCGGUAAGGCCCUUUCGGGGUACGACGAGCGGCGAACGGGUAGAGUAACACGUGGGUGACCUCGCCCUCCAGCUCUGGGAGUAAGCCUGGGAAACGUAGGGUCGUAAUACCGGAUAUGACUCCAUGACGCAUGUUGUGGGGUGGGAAAGCCUUGUGCGGCUGAGGAUGGGCCCGCGGCCUAUCAGCUUGUUGGUGGGGUGAUGGCCUACCAAGGCGACGACGGGUAGCCGGCCUGAGAGGGCGACCGG
rnacentral:rRNA from 1 species